GCCAUGGGGAAGCUCUUCACUAUAAUUUUUAUCUUGGACUCUGGAGAUUCUUUGCCACAGAUUUGGAGAAGAUCUUCAGCAAUAGGAGGAGGAGAUUUCUUGGAGAAUAGGCUAAGGAAAGUGAGUUUUGGAAGAUAGAAAAAGAAAGGAUAAGUUGCUGAUUUUUGGUGGAAGAGGAAAAAGGGCUGAAGUUGUAGAGGUUUGCACAUGGGGUUCCCUAAGGCUUUUGAAUGUGGAAUUUUGAGGGCUUAGAGAGGGAUGGAUCAAGGCUUGGACAACUAUGGUUUUUAAGGAAAAGGAUCUAGGGUUGGCCAGCUAGGGUUAGGAAGUGGAGGAGGCAUGAGGGAGGAAGUUUGUGGCAGC
rnacentral:lncRNA from 1 species